GACGAACGCUGGCGGCGUGCUUAACACAUGCAAGUGGAGCGACGAACCAGGCUUCGGCCUGGGGCAAAGCCGCGAACGGGUGGGUAACACGUGGGUAACCUGCCCCGAAGACCGGGACAACCCGAGGAAACUCGGGCUAAUACCGGAUGUGGUCACUGCUCAGAAGAGCAGUGAGCAAAGGAAGCUUCGGCCUCCGCCUCGGGAGGGGCCCGCGGCCCAUUAGCUUGUUGGUGAGGUAACGGCGCACCAAGGGCGGGAUGGGUAGCUGGUCUGAGAGGACGAUCAGCCACACUGGGACUGAGACACGGCCCAGACUCCUACGGGAGGCAGCAGUGGGGAAUCUUGCGCAAUGCGCGAAAGCGUGACGCAGCAACGCCGCGUGGGGGAAGAAGGCCUUCGCGUCGCAAACCCCUUUCAGGAGGGACGAAGCCUCGGGAGUGAAUAGCUCUCCGGGGUGACGGUACCUCACUAAGAAGCCCCGGCUAACUACGUGCCAGCAGCCGCCGUAACAC
rnacentral:rRNA from 1 species